CGCGAAGAACCUUACCUACUCUUGACAUCCACGGAAUUUGGCAGAGAUGCCUUAGUGCCUUCGGGAACCGUGAGACAGGUGCUGCAUGGCUGUCGUCAGCUCGUGUUGUGAAAUGUUGGGUUAAGUCCCGCAACGAGCGCAACCCUUAUCCUUUGUUGCCAGCGAUUCGGUCGGGAACUCAAAGGAGACUGCCGGUGAUAAACCGGAGGAAGGUGGGGAUGACGUCAAGUCAUCAUGGCCCUUACGAGUAGGGCUACACACGUGCUACAAUGGCGCAUACAAAGAGAAGCGACCUCGCGAGAGCAAGCGGACCUCACAAAGUGCGUCGUAGUCCGGAUCGGAGUCUGCAACUCGACUCCGUGAAGUCGGAAUCGCUAGUAAUCGUGGAUCAGAAUGCCACGGUGAAUACGUUCCCGGGCCUUGUACACACCGCCCGUCACACCAUGGGAGUGGGUUGCAAAAGAAGUAGGUAGCUUAACCUUCGGGAGGCGCUUACCACUUUGUGAUUC
rnacentral:rRNA from 1 species